CGGAUCAGCAGCAGCGAAGUUGUGUUGGAUUCGUUCGUUCUGUGUGGAAUGUGAAACAGUGAAGAAAAGGCAGUGCUAGUUUGGCGGAGCUUGUCCAACAGAAAACGAGCGACAGAAGAAAGAGAAAGCUGCGAGAUCCACCACACGUACACACGUGAAGCAGAAGCCAGAGGAAAUCGGUUAUGUGUACGAAUGUGCAGUUUAUCGAUGUGGAAAUAUUGAAAAGAUCAGCUGUGUCGUGUAUGACGAUCGUGUUUGAUCGGCAGCGUGUGCUUACGUGUGCAGUAACCAGCUAGCCAGCUGCGCGAGCGACACAUUAUUUGUUAGUCAUUCGUCGAUCGUUCAUGGUCCCAGUGGGUGGAGAGAAACGGCCGGGUGAUGAUCCGCAACACGCUGCUCUCAAACGUGGCUUGAUCGUGGCAUCAUAUCGAGUGCUGGAAACAGAGAAAAAAGCGUGAUAGGUGAGAGAGAGUGAGUGGUAAAGCCGAAACAGAAGAGAAAAAGAAGUAAACAAAAGUGCGUACAUACGCUUCUGUUCUACUACUACUACUGUGCACAACUACUACCACCAUCUGUACCACUACUUAGGCACAAAAGAGUCGUGAAAGGAACGUCGUGGCAUUGAAACGCAAGUUUCACUUCAUCAAAUCGAAAUAAUACAAAGUAUUUCGAAAGUGAUGCAAAACAUAGACACGUUUUAAAGGAAUCGUAUGCUCAACUACAGAAAAAGGGCGCUGCUACGUCGCGACGAAAGGAUAUAAACGCAGUUGUUUAGAACUGUCCACCACGAACAUCUUUCUACUAUCGUCCCCUGCUUACGUGUACAUUAGUAAGACAAGGAACUGUGCAUCUUCUUCAUCCACAACAACAAAUCGCAAACUCACGUAAAAACUACCGUCGGACCGUACAUUGAAAAACAAUUAAAAGCGAGAGGCAAACAUCGACAGUGCAGCAUAAACGAUCGGCCACGAAACAUAGCCAGUCAGUCCACCACCUUCUUCUUACAAUCACCACCAACGACCGUCAACUGAAGAAACAGAAACACAAGAUUUGUGUGUACCAAAUUUUGUCAAUCCGUCUAAAAUAUUCCUCUCCGUAGAGGCUUUCGGGGGCUCCCGAUCCACAAACGCUUUCUGUUGCUCAUACCGCCCCUAGCUCCUCUCCUGCUGCUCACGACCCUUGCAACACUGCAUCACGACGAAGCUUCGUUUGGUGGUACUGAUGCUAAAAGUAUUAAAUAUUCGAAUUGC